CUACGGGUGGCAGCAGGCGCGAAACCUUUACAAUGCACGAAAGUGUGAUAAGGGGACUCUAAGUGCUCAUGCUUUGCAUGGGCUUUUGUUAAGGGUAAAAUCCUUGACGAAUAAGUGGUGGGCAAGACUGGUGCCAGCAGCCGCGGUAAUACCAGCGCCACAAGUAGGAAUCCUAUUUAUUUGGCCUAAAGCGUCCGUAGCUGGUUGAACAAAUCUUUUGUGAAAUCGUGGAGCUCAACUUCACGGCGUGCAGGAGACACUAUUCGACUAGGAACCGGGAGAGGUCAGAGGUAUUCUAGGGGGAGCGGUAAAAUGUUAUAAUCCCUGGAGGACCACCGAUAGCGAAGGCAUCUGACUAGAACGGAUUCGACAGUGAGGGACGAAAGCCAGGGGAGCAAACCGGAUUAGAUACCCCAGUAGUC
rnacentral:rRNA from 1 species